rnacentral:rRNA from 1 species
ACGUACACUCCUACGGGAGGCAGCAGUGGGGAAUAUUGGACAAUGGGCGCAAGCCUGAUCCAGCCAUGCCGCGUGAGUGAUGAAGGCCCUAGGGUUGUAAAGCUCUUUCACCGGAGAAGAUAAUGACGGUAUCCGGAGAAGAAGCCCCGGCUAACUUCGUGCCAGCAGCCGCGGUAAUACGAAGGGGGCUAGCGUUGUUCGGAAUUACUGGGCGUAAAGCGCACGUAGGCGGAUCGAUCAGUCAGGGGUGAAAUCCCAGGGCUCAACCCUGGAACUGCCUUUGAUACUGUCGAUCUGGAGUAUGGAAGAGGUGAGUGGAAUUCCGAGUGUAGAGGUGAAAUUCGUAGAUAUUCGGAGGAACACCAGUGGCGAAGGCGGCUCACUGGUCCAUUACUGACGCUGAGGUGCGAAAGCGUGGGGAGCAAACAGGAUUAGAUACCCUAGUAGUCCCA